rnacentral:piRNA from 1 species
UGCGUACUACUCUGCUGCAAAGCGGUUGCC